rnacentral:rRNA from 1 species
UACGGGGGGGGCAAGCGUUGUUCGGAAUUACUGGGCGUAAAGGGCUCGUAGGUGGCCAACUAAGUCAGACGUGAAAUCCCUCGGCUUAACCGGGGAACUGCGUCUGAUACUGGAUGGCUUGAGUUCGGGAGAGGGAUGCGGAAUUCCAGGUGUAGCGGUGAAAUGCGUAGAUAUCAGGAGGAACACCGGUGGCGAAGGCGGGUCUCUGGGCCGUAACUGACGCUGAGGAGCGAAAGCAUGGGGAGCGAACAGG